rnacentral:rRNA from 1 species
UACGAAGGGGGCUAGCGUUGUUCGGAAUUACUGGGCGUAAAGCGCGCGCAGGCGGUCUUCCAAGUCAGUGGUGAAAGCCCGGGGCUCAACCCCGGGUCGGCCGUGCGAACUGUCGAGCUGGAGCACUGUAGAGGCAGGUGGAAUUCCGGGUGUAGCGGUGGAAUGCGUAGAGAUCCGGAAGAACACCGGUGGCGAAGGCGGCCUGCUGGGCAGUGGCUGACGCUGAGGCGCGACAGCGUGGGGAGCAAACAGG